GCCAGUGUUGCUCAGUGGUUAGAGUGUCAGCUCACACAGGGUCAUGGGUUCAAUUCCCAGUCAAUGGCA
rfam:Myotis davidii contig20033, whole genome shotgun sequence.